rnacentral:rRNA from 1 species
CGAACGCUGGCGGCAGGCUUAACACAUGCAAGUCGAGCGCGCUCUUCGGAGUGAGCGGCGGACGGGUGAGUAACGCGUGGGAACAUACCCUUCACUGCGGAAUAGCCUCUGGAAACGGAGAGUAAUACCGCAUACGCCCUUUGGGGGAAAGAUUUAUCGGUGAGGGAUUGGCCCGCGUUGGAUUAGGUAGUUGGUGGGGUAAUGGCCUACCAAGCCGACGAUCCAUAGCUGGUUUGAGAGGAUGAUCAGCCACACUGGGACUGAGACACGGCCCAGACUCCUACGGGAGGCAGCAGUGGGGAAUCUUAGACAAUGGGGGAAACCCUGAUCUAGCCAUGCCGCGUGUGUGAUGAAGGCCUUAGGGUCGUAAAGCACUUUCGCCUGUGAAGAUAAUGACGGUAGCAGGUAAAGAAACCCCGGCUAACUCC